UGGGGAAUAUUGGACAAUGGGCGCAAGCCUGAUCCAGCCAUGCCGCGUGUGUGAAGAAGGCCUUUUGGUUGUAAAGCACUUUAAGCGAGGAGGAGGCUACUUGGAUUAAUACUCUAGGAUAGUGGACGUUACUCGCAGAAUAAGCACCGGCUAACUCUGUGCCAGCAGCCGCGGUAAUACAGAGGGUGCGAGCGUUAAUCGGAUUUACUGGGCGUAAAGCGUGCGUAGGCGGCUUCUUAAGUCGGAUGUGAAAUCCCUGAGCUUAACUCAGGAAUUGCAUUCGAUACUGGGAAGCUAGAGUAUGGGAGAGGAUGGUAGAAUUCCAGGUGUAGCGGUGAAAUGCGUAGAGAUCUGGAGGAAUACCGAUGGCGAAGGCAGCCAUCUGGCCUAAUACUGACGCUGAGGUACGAAAGCAUGGGGAGCAAACAGG
rnacentral:rRNA from 2 species